AGAGUUUGAUCCUGGCUCAGGAUGAACGCUAGCGGGAGGCCUAACACAUGCAAGUCGAACGGGAUUGGUAGCAAUACCAUGAGAGUGGCGCACGGGUGAGUAACGCGUAUGCAACCUACCUUUAACAGAGGGAUAGCCCAUAGAAAUGUGGAUUAAUAUCUCAUAGUUCUAUUAGAUCGCAUGAUUUGAUAGAUAAAGCUCCGGCGGUUACAGAUGGGCAUGCGUGACAUUAGCUAGUUGGUAAGGUAACGGCUUACCAAGGCUACGAUGUCUAGGGGUUCUGAGAGGAUGAUCCCCCACACUGGUACUGAGACACGGACCAGACUCCUACGGGAGGCAGCAGUGAGGAAUAUUGGUCAAUGGGCGCAAGCCUGAACCAGCCAUCCCGCGUGCAGGAUGACGGCCCUAUGGGUUGUAAACUGCUUUCAUACACCAAGAAAAAUCCCCACGUGUGGGGACCCGACGGUAGUGUAUGAAUAAGCAUCAGCUAACUCCGUGCCAGCAGCCGCGGUAA
rnacentral:rRNA from 1 species